GACGCACCGUGCGAACGUUAUUCGGAAUCACUGGGCUUAAAGGGCGCGUAGGCGGACGAGCAAGUCCGGGGUGAAAUCUUUCGGCUUAACCGGAAAAGUGCCUGGGAAACUGCUCGUCUUGAGGGAGGUAGGGGCCUGUGGAACUUCCGGUGGAGCGGUGAAAUGCGUUGAUAUCGGAAGGAACGCCGGUGGCGAAAGCGACGGGCUGGCCCUCCACUGACGCUGAGGCGCGAAAGCCAGGGGAGCGAACGGG
rnacentral:rRNA from 1 species